rnacentral:rRNA from 1 species
CGUGGGUAACCUACCCAUCAGAGGGGGAUAACACUUGGAAACAGGUGCUAAUACCGCAUAACAGUUUAUGCCGCAUGGCACAAGAGUGAAAGGCGCUUUCGGGUGUCGCUGAUGGAUGGACCCGCGGUGCAUUAGCUAGUUGGUGAGGUAACGGCUCACCAAGGCCACGAUGCAUAGCCGACCCGAGAGGGUGAUCGGCCACACUGGGACUGAGACACGGCCCAG